UCCAAAUCUCCAGCCCAACCUCUAAACAUAGAUCAGAAGCACUAGCAAUUCCUUGCAAGUUAAGUCUCUCUAGCUUGAUUUUCUUGUCAAAAGGUGGUCUAUGUGUUUUUGUGAACUGUCAUUGUUCCAAGACUUUGUGCUAAACUGGUAUGUCUGAGACCUGAAUGAUUUUAAGUCUGACUCUCGGCUCCAAUUAUCCCUAAUGUGUAUAGACAUGCAUCCACCAGGGCUGGUUAGAGCUCAGCUUUCCCAAACAAUGAAACACUUGUAAGCAAAUGCUGUAUCCAAUAGUGGUGACAGAUGCUUUCUUUUGUUGCUUGCUCCAAAAAUGUGCUCAUCUAUAACUUGGAAGAAGAAUUUAAGGUGUUAAAAAAGGUGGCACUUGUACUGGAGGUUGUGUGUAUGACGUUUAUGUUAGAAAUAUUUCCAAAGAAAAGGUUUGAAUAAAAUCAUGGAAGGUGCUGAAGGAGUGGCUUCAUGGUAGAACCCUUGCCUAGCAAGUCCAAGGCCAGAAUUCAAUCUCCAGUAAAAAGGCUCUGGAAACCUUAAAAGCACAUUUAGUUGCAAAACCAAGAAAAGAUUUGCAAAGUACUGACUUACAUAUUCACAUCUAAGUUCUUGAUUUACAGACAGCUUGAUCUGCAACGUGGCUGCUCCUCUGUGGCUCCUAUAUUCAACUUUAUGUGCCGGCCUAACACAUUACUUAUGGAUAGUUAGUUUAGCUUGUCAGAAUUCUCUGUCUAGACUAUUGCUUCCACCUCUCUUCUUAGUUCACAUCUCCUCCUAGUGAAGUCCUGUCUGCUGCCUGCUCAAGAUUCCCUCCAAUACUCCCAGCAGACUUGGUUAAAUCACCCUGCUUUAGUGUCUUUCUGCUAGACUGCAUGCACAUGUAUGCACAUACUCCUGGGGCUUGAACUCAGGGCCUGAGCAC